CUGCGAGAAAAGGUGGCCUCUUUACAAUGCUACCACUUACAGAUGAAUCCGCGUCCCAUUAGCCAGUUGGUGGGGUAAAGGCCUACCAAAGCGACGAUGGGUAGCCGGCCUGAGAGGGUGACCGGCCACACUGGAACUGAGAUACGGUCCAGACUCCUACGGGAGGCAGCAGUGGGGAAUCUUCCGCAAUGGGCGAAAGCCUGAAGAAGGUCUUCGGAUUGUAAAGCUCUGUGAUAUUGGACGAACAAUUUCCCGUAAAUAAUGGGAAGGAAUGACGGUACAAUAAGAGGAAGCCACGGCUAACUACGUGCCAGCAGCCGCGGUAAUACGUAGGUGGCAAACGUUGUCCGGAAUUACUGGGCGUAAAGGGCGAGUAGGUGGUUUAUUAAGUCAAGAGUGAAAACUCCAGGCUCAACUUGGAGACUGCUCUACGAAACUGGUAGACUUGAGUGCAAGAGAGGGAAGUGGAAUUCCUAGUGUAGCGGUGAAAUGCGUAGAUAUUAGGAGGAACACCAGUGGCGAAGGCGACUUCCUGGCUUGUAACUGACACUGAGGCGCGAAAGCGUGGGGAUCAAACAGGAUUAGAUACCCUGGUAGUCCACGCCGUAAACGAUGAGUGCUAGGUGUCGGGGGUAUCGACCCCCUCGGUGCCACAGCUAACGCAAUAAGCACUCCGCCUGGGGAGUACGGUCGCAAGACUGAAACUCAAAGGAAUUGACGGGGGCCCGCACAAGCGGUGGAGUAUGUGGUUUAAUUCGACGCAACGCGAAGAACCUUACCAAGGCUUGACAUCCUGUGACAGCUAUAGAAAUAUAGACUUCUUAGUUUACUAAGACACAGAGACAGGUGGUGCAUGGUUGUCGUCAGCUCGUGUCGUGAGAUGUUGGGUUAAGUCCCGCAACGAGCGCAACCCUUGUCUUUAGUUGCCAGCAGGUUAAGCUGGGCACUCUAAGGAGACUGCCGGUGUCAAACCGGAGGAAGGUGGGGAUGACGUCAAGUCCUCAUGGCCCUUAUGUCCAGGGCUACACACGUGCUACAAUGGCCGGUACAAAGGGCAGCAAAGCCGCGAGGUGGAGCCAAUCCCAAAAAGCCGGUCUCAGUUCGGAUUGGAGUCUGCAACUCGCCUACAUGAAGUCGGAAUCGCUAGUAAUCGCGGGUCAGCAUACCGCGGUGAAUACGUUCCCG
rnacentral:rRNA from 1 species